AUCGCUUCUCUGUCUUUUGGCUAAGAUCAAGUGUAGUAUCAAAUAAUAAUUGAUACAUUUUACAUGUAUGAGAUCUUUUUUUAUUAAGAAUAAAAUGUUAUGCCCUAACUAGUUUGGCUCAGUGGAUAGAGCGUCAGCCUGCGGACUGAAGGGUCCCAGGUUCGAUUCUGGUCAAG
rnacentral:snRNA from 1 species